UACGGGGGGGGCAAGCGUUGUUCGGAAUUACUGGGCGUAAAGGGCUCGUAGGCGGCCAACUAAGUCAGACGUGAAAUCCCUCGGCUUAACCGGGGAACUGCGUCUGGUACUGGAUGGCUUGAGAUUGGGAGAGGGAUGCGGAAUUCCAGGUGUAGCGGUGAAAUGCGUAGAUAUCUGGAGGAGCACCGGUGGCGAAGGCGGCAUCCUGGACCAACACUGACGCUGAGGAGCGAAAGCCAGGGGAGCAAACGGG
rnacentral:rRNA from 1 species